rnacentral:lncRNA from 1 species
AGGGGAAAACGGAGGAGGGGCCAAAGCCAGGACUUUGAGACCGGCGCGCGGUCAAGCCCAGGCAGCUCUCCCUAACCCUCCAGCACUGGGCAAACGCUGCCCGAUGACGCCCGCCUCGGGGGCCACGGCAUCACUGGGGCGACUGCGAGCCCGGCCGCGGAGCCGCUGGGACGCGGCUUACCUCCCGGCUGUCGCUGCUGUGUGUGUUGCCCGCGCCAGUCACGUCCCUAAUGGGACCCUCCGUUUCGGCGUCUGUAAGGCGAGGAGGACGAUGCGUCCCCUCCCUCGCAGGAUUGAGGUUAGGACUAAACGGGGUCCGCAGCGCCCGGCAGCUCCCGAGCGCUCUCCCCAGCCGCGCCUCCCUCCUUCCCGCCACCCGUCCCGCAGGGGCCCGCGGCGUCACCUCUCAGGCUGUAGCGCGCCUGCAUGCCGAAUACCGACAGGGUGCCGGUGCCCGUGCGGUCGUCCUUCCUGACGCCGCAGCGGAGGAUGUGUUGGAUCUGCCCCAGGAUUUCCAGGUCCCAGAUGAAGAGAUAAUUCUACUUACUGGAUAUAGGAUGCAUUAGAUCUUCUUACCUUAAAAAAAAAAAAAAAGGCAGCAAUGAUCAAAAUACUAAUAAAUUACUCACAGACUCAGUGUAUUUUUUCUUGGAGUAAAAGUCCAGGAUGGGUAAUAGAAUACCUGCUGUUGGCUUUUGGAAAAAUUGGUACUGUAUGUAGCAAAAUAAUGUGAAACCCAUAUGCAUGGAUAUUCUUAACAAUUUGAAGAAAUCGUCACAGCUUUCCUGGGUUGUUGAGCCUCUAAGAUGGUCUUUUCCUCUGAUGUGAUAAUAAAGUGUUUAUUCUGAACUCUACAUGCACGUAGUGUUUGGUCAGUAAACUUCUGUUACUCAUGACUCAUUACAUUAGUCAACAAAUUUUGUAUAUUUGCCUUUCACGAUGAUGAUGAUGGUAAGAGCCCAUCUACAAAAGCUUAUUAAAGACUCAGGAUGUGCAAGAUA